rnacentral:lncRNA from 1 species
CGAAAAUCUCAAAUAGAGUAUAAAUAACUGAAUUAAUGUCAGUAUAACAACAUUGUUCCAACAUGUUUUUAGGUGUGUUGAAUCAUUUAAUAAACCGUUAGAGGGAAGAGAAACAUUCUUGGAGAGAGUGAGCAGUCAGCUUUUGGGGGAGCUGUCGUGUGUUUACUAGACGAGAGCAAUGCGAGAGAGAGAGAGAGAGCGAGAGAGGGAGGACUGACGGGGUGAGUGAGUGAGUGAGUGAGUGAGUGAGUGAGGGAGGAGAGAGAGAGAAACUUUGGGGGAGCUGUCGUGUGUUUACUAGACGAGAGCAAUGCGAGAGAGAGAGAGAGAGCGAGAGAGGGAGGACUGACGGGGUGAGUGAGUGAGUGAGUGAGUGAGUGAGUGAGGGAGGGAGAGAGAGAGAAAACUUUUCAGUUUUAAAGAGCGAGAGGAAGCGUGUGCUGGAGUCCCAACCAUGCAGGAGGAGCCAGGAGAAACUCUGAGAGGUGCCAAUAACAAGGGGUCAAUGUGGUUAUGCCCUCUAUGUCAGGAAAGUCAACCAGACCGUGAGAAUCUCUCUCAUCACCUUACAGACAAACACAAUGUCCUCCCUGCUUGCCUUGAUAAGUUACUGGAUAUUGCGGCUCCUAAGCACCGUUCCAUUGCUGAAGAAGAAGAAUCCAAAGCCCAAAUGAUGCAGGUGACUUUUUAUCAUCUAUAAAGUUAUUCUCAAGUGUUUGUGUUUGUGCCACAGUGGUUCAACACUAUCCUAGCACUGAGAUCCAGGGUUCCAGUGUUAUUGAUACCCGGCUUAGGUUAUGCACCACUGGACACAAAAUUGACUGUGUAGGUGACCACCUCGCUUCAGUAUUUUCCAUGGCAAUGAAGCACCUGUAGGUUGUAGACUACUAAGUGUGGGCUCCCACAAGUAUUCAGUUUUUGUGCUGAUUCCUGGAUGUGAUGAUUGAAACUGAAAAAAAUAUUUAUUUAACUGUUCUGCUUUUAAAUCUUGAAAAGCAUUUGUUUUCAUGUUGGAUAUCAGGGGUUUCACAAGCUUUCUAGAGUCAGGAAUGGACCAGGGACCCCUGUUAAAUACUGUAUAAACUGAGUGUUGUCUUUUAAGCAUGAUCAAUAAUAACAUGUAUAGUUUUAUAUUAAUUUAUUUACCUACAAUACGAUAUUGACAAAAUAAAAAAAAACAAUUAUUUUGAUUUGUGGAUUUAUAUUCAUUACAAUAAUCUUACUUUAGGAUGUAUUUAUUGAAACUUUAGCUUUGGUUAAACGUUACUUAAUGUAUUAAGAAGUUUUGAUAAACACUUAUUUUUUUAUUUAAAAAAAAAAAAGACCAAACAAUUAGUGAAAAAUUAGUGAAAUUGUCCAAGACCUGUCUUACAUAUUCUGCAUAAUAUUAGCCAAUUGUUUAGUGUUACAAAACUUAUUUUGGACUUUUUUAAAGGACUUACUAAUAUUGAAUUUUUAUUUUAAUUCAUCAGAUGACGAAUCUCAGCUGAAACAUUUAGAGAACACAAAAUCCCCCUCAAUGGCUUCCCAAAAUGAGAGCAAAUCUACAGAUGCAGGUGACAAGGGUGGUUCUUCUCAGGAAAAAGAGUUGGAUGAAGAGAUGGAGGGAGGGAGAAAUGCGGAAAGUGAUGCGGGGGGGCUGGAGUCAGAUCAGGACAAUGCAGAGCAAACUAUAAAAACAUCAGAGGCUUCUGUCAGCAAUGGCAGAUCUGUCUGUAAAAACGUGCCUCUGAAGGUGACAACCGUCCAUUCAGUGUAAUGCGUGUU